GUGACCCCGGGGUCGGACAUUGGAGCGGAGCUAUAGCCCGAGAUUCAUCCCCGCGGCUCCGGAGGCGGCACCGACGCCCCCACUCCCACUCACCCAGUUCGCUCCUGACUCCGGGCCGGGGUUAAAGCUCCAUGCGGUGUGGACAGAGCGGCUGCCGGCCACAGAGUCGCCGGAGGUGAGGGUGGGAGGUGUGAGCAGUUCCUCCGGGAUCGGUGCUGGGACCACCGCCGUGUUUCAUCUAUCACAUCAUCUGCACGAGAUGUCAAUGCGGAAUACAAGGCAGCAUUUAUUGCCCAUAUCGAUUGCGCGAGAGAAUGUGAUGGCAGGUUACAUUUAACUGCUGAAAUGCUUAAGAAUACACUCUGACAAUACAAACCUGGUAGUUUACGGAUUUGGACCCACUGGCAAAGAAGGAAUAGUAUUAUUUCUUCAAGCCAGGAUCAUGUGUGACUCUGAGAGAACUUACAAAUGCCCACAGUCAAUAUGAAUCAAGGACAGAUCAGUCUCAAUCUGUCGAGAGCCUUGAUCGCCUCAUCACAGCGGGAGAACAAGCAAGGAAGAGAGAAGACUUUUUGCCUUCCAUCACAGUGAGGAGGUGCCUGGAGAUUCGCUGUGAUGGAUGUUUGUGUUAAAUUGUGUGUGUGGAUUUUGUUGCUUUUUUCUGUCAUGACUGCAUGGUACGAAAUGUAAUUCAAACUUGUUUGAAUGAUAAUAAAGGAAAUUCUGUUAUGUCCUUGAUGAGUGCAGAGUUGUUUCAUUAAUUCUGAAUAUAUGGACAAAAGAACAUAUUGAUUGAAAGCCCAAAGAACACACUCUGUCCGUCAUGCCUGCUCCGCCAUUCAAUAAGAUGCAGGCAGAUCUGACUGUGAUAUCAGUUAGAAACAUAGAAAUUAGGUGCUUGAAUGGGCCAUUCGGCCCUUUGAGCCAGCACCGCCAUUCAAUAUGAUCAUUGCUGUUCAUCCAGAAUCAGUACCCUGUU